UCAACGACUAUGAUGGAGAAAAGUAGAUCGUUCCCAGCCUUCCAGGGAGAAGAAGCCGCGACUGGAAGCUUCUUUAAGGUAUGGUUGAUUGAAGUUCUCUUCGGAGUUGCUGUACUGAACUUUGAGUAGGUGCAGUCGGGAGUUCCCGCCGUUAAAAGGGAAGAGGUAUCGGAUUGAUAUGUCCAGUACCGGUAAAGUGGCCUUUUGGCAAUUAGGGUGGUACCGCGAAAUCAAGCAUUUCGUCCCUUGG
rnacentral:ncRNA from 1 species